rnacentral:rRNA from 1 species
AACGAACGCUGGCGGCAGGCCUAACACAUGCAAGUCGAGCGGGCAUCCUUCGGGAUGUUAGCGGCGGACGGGUGAGUAACGCGUGGGAACGUGCCCUUUGCUACGGAAUAGCCUCGGGAAGCUGAGAGUAAUACCGUAUGUGCCCCUUCGGGGGGAAAGAUUUAUCGGCAAAGGAUCGGCCCGCGUUGGAUUAGGUAGUUGGUAGGGUAAUGGCCUACCAAGCCGACGAUCCAUAGCUGGUUUGAGAGGAUGAUCAGCCACACUGGGACUGAGACACGGCCCAGACUCCUACCGGGAGGCAGCAGUGGGGAAUCUUAGACAAUGGGGGAAACCCUGAUCUAGCCAUGCCGCGUGAGCGAUGAAGGCCUUAGGGUUGUAAAGCUCUUUCAGUGGGGAAGAUAAUGAUGGUACCCACAGAAGAAGCCCCGGCUAACUCCGUG